CCUACGGGAGGCAGCAGUGGGGAAUAUUGCACAAUGGGCGAAAGCCUGAUGCAGCGACGCCGCGUGAGGGACGAAGGCCUUCGGGUUGUAAACCUCUUUCAGCAGGGAAGAAGCGAAAGUGACGGUACCUGCAGAAGAAGCGCCGGCUAACUACGUGCCGGCAGCCGCGGUAAUACGUAGGGCGCAAGCGUUAUCCGGAAUUAUUGGGCGUAAAGAGCUCGUAGGCGGUUUGUCGCGUCUGCUGUGAAAGCCCGGGGCUCAACCCCGGGUCUGCAGUGGGUACGGGCAGACUAGAGUGCAGUAGGGGAGACUGGAAUUCCUGGUGUAGCGGUGAAAUGCGCAGAUAUCAGGAGGAACACCGAUGGCGAAGGCAGGUCUCUGGGCUGUAACUGACGCUGAGGAGCGAAAGCAUGGGGAGCGAACAGGAUUAGAUACCCUGGUAGUCCAUGCCGUAAACGUUGGGCACUAGGUGUGGGGGACAUUCCACGUUUUCCGCGCCGUAGCUAACGCAUUAAGUGCCCCGCCUGGGGAGUACGGCCGCAAGGCUAAAACUCAAAUGAAUUGACGG
rnacentral:rRNA from 1 species